GGCCACACCUGCUGCAUAUGGAAGCUCCCAGGCUUGGGGUCAAAUCAGAGCUGUAGUUACAGACCUAUACCACAACCACAGCAACACAGGAUCCAAGCCACAUCUGUGACCUACACCACAGUGCACAGGAAUGCCAGAUCCUUAACCCACUGAACAAGGCCAGGGAUGAAACCUGUGUCCUCAUGGAUACUUGUUAGGUUCGUUAACCACUGAGCCACGGCAGCAACUCCGAUACGUACUUAUUGAUAUAAAAUUUACACAGCAUUUAAUAUGUACCAGGCAACACUGUUCUCCAAGAGUGUUAUGCAUAUUAGCUUGUUUAAUUCCCAAUAAUCCUGUGAAGCAGGUACUGUUAUCCCAUUUUAUAGAGGAUGGAAGUGAGGCACGGGAAAGUUACCUAUCUUGCCUAGGGUCACCCGCCUGGAUGCAGGUGAACCUGCACUUGACCUCCGCUUCCCCCACGGGCAGCCUGCUUCAAAAGGCAUAAUCUUAACCUUGCACUUGUGCUUCAGAAAUUAUGUUCCAGGGACGCCCCCCUCCCAGGGGUCACUGAGGCCCUGCCAGGGGGUCUAUGACACCAAAACCAUUUUCACAGUAAUAGCAAGACAUCAUUUGCUUUCCCAUGCUCACUCUCAGGCCAGAGGUGAGGGGAUGAGUAAAACAAUACUACGUUUACUGCUUUUCUUUUUUGUUUGGAAAGUAGCUAUUUUUCACUAUACUUACGUUAUUAUGCAAUGAAUUUAUUGUUAUUUUUAUUUAUUCCCCUUUUCUUUUUACCAUCACACCCACGGCAUAUGGAAGUUCCCAGGCUAAGGGUCAAAUCGGAGCUGCAGCUUCCAGCCCACACCACAGCCAGGGCCACACGAGAUCCGAGCUGCAUCUGCAACCUACGCCACAGCCUGACCCAAUGCUGGAUCCUUAGCCCACUGAGGGAGGCCAGGGAUCGAACUUAAUUUCUUGGAGUUCCCAUUGUGGCUCUGCGGGUUAAAAACCAUGAGAAUGAGGGUCUGAUCUCUGGCCUUGCUGCAAGCUGCAGUGUAGGUCGCAGAUGUGGCUCGGAUCUGCUGUUGCUGCGGCUGUGCUGUAGGCUGGCAACUGCAGCUAUGAGUCAACCCCCAGCCUGGGAAUUUCCUCAUGCUGCAGAUGUGGCCCUGGCAGAAAAAAAAAGAAUUUCUCAAUUUUUAGUAACUCACAUGAUACACGUUAAAAGAUAAUAGACACAAAAGCUCUUCAGUGCCAUCAGUAAUGUCAAGAGUGUAAUGCGGCCUUGAAAACCAAAAAUUUUAGUACUGCUGCCUUGCUGCUUGAUGCCAAAUCUCCCUCAGAGUCUCUGGCAAUUUGGACUAGACCAGCCUUCCUACCCAGGGCAGGGCUGGCCACGCCGCAGGUGUGCAGCACCCCUGGCCCUUCCCUACAAAAUGCCAGGAGACUCCCCAGAUGCUGCGACAGCCAACACACCUCUCCCUACAUGUGUGUGUGUGCACGGGGGUGGGCGACACUGGGCCCAGCCGAGAGCAGAUCCGCUGGCCAUCACAAGAUCCCACCGCUGCUGCCUCUGGCCUUGGCCCUGGUCCCUCUAGCAGUCCCAGCGGGAAUCGUCCUCCAGCUCCUGUCCCCAUCCGCCUUCCUCCCUUUAUCCCAGGACAACGUCACAAUUACCAGCAGGUGGCAAGAACCCUAAAAACAUCCUCAGGAUCUCUCUCCAGGGAACUUAUCACAAGGACAGAGUUCACAGGAAGAAAACUGCCGAAAGCAUAAAGAUGUUCAGUGCGUGGCGCGGGGAGACACACACAGACAUGCAGAAACGGAGACGCCAAGUCCUGCGGUACCGCCACCUGCCAGAACCUUCGACAGGUGUACGGUCUGACAAUUGUUCAGGACAGAUGUUCACUCACCACGUGGCCCCUCCUUGACGCAGGGACCAAGGACUCAAGUGGGGAAGGAGAGGGCCUCUGCUCUCCAAGAGGUUCUGGUUAAGUGACCGUCCAUCUGCCUUGGUUUCACAGUACAGGGAGCCAGCUCCACACACUCAGCCUCUAAAAGGAGCAUAUCCCCCUCCCCUGCCCCAAAGACCUUCCCUUCCUCCCCCUUUUCUGAGGGCCCAUCCCCCAGCACGGAGGGUAUGUUCAGUGGCUGAGACUGAGUGUCUAUGUGAAGGUCCUUGAGCCCCCGGUGGCGUCUCUCGCCUGCGCAGCCCCUGACACAGUGCACAGGACACGCUGGCCCAAGUGGCUCUCAGACAGGUUGGCCUUGGUUCCCUCCCACGUCCUUCUUCCUCUGCCUCAUUAUCCUGAUCCGAGAGGUCGGUGGGCCAUUCUGGCAGGACGUGCCUGCUUCACAGAGGCCAAGGCGUGCGGAUCUAUAAACAGCAAAGGUUCUGCAAGCACCCGGGGUGACCGAGCUGUGGGCAACACAGAGAAGGUGGCCGGCCCGUAAGGACCAUGAGCCCACAGACACAGGCUCCCCCACCUCCGGCUCUCCAAAAGCUGGAGGCGGAGGUCCGUGGAAGUGGGGCAGGCAGGGUGAUGCCAGAGGAGGGGAAGAUAGAAAUAAGCCCCAAGGAGGCCCAGGCCUGCGUCCAGCCCAGCAGAGCAGUCAAGUGGCUGGACCUCGUGUUUACCAAACCAACACCAAUAGCCAGGGCUGGCUCUGGGGCUGAGACAAGUGGGCAAACUGUGCCAGCUUUCAGAUGCCCGUUCUCGGCCCUGGAGAUGCAGAGAUGCACCUGGCACAGGUGGGUUCUCCGUACGGCCCCGUGAAGAUGCAUCACGCGCUCCUGUUCUCCGUGGAGCUCCCGGGCCAACAGCGAACAGGGACACGCUCCAAAGCCAGGCACCGGAGUGGGGUCAGUGUGAUGAGAGUCAGACACGCACGAGGUGUUUGGGGACAUUUGGAAGGAGGAGGGGUGGCAGAGGAUGCGAAGAGAUGGUGCUAGAGUUGAGUUUUGCAGGAAGGACGAUGGACGCAGGGAAGUGACUUCAUUUAGAGGGAAUGUUAUUUAGGGUAAUGAGAACAAAGCAGGCAGCCCUAUCUACGUCCCCAUCUAAAGCCAAACAUCUGUAUCUGUGCAUCUGUGCGUAAAUGUUCACCAGUUAGCUUUUUUGGUGGUAAAAUAAGUGGCUGACAUGAAGCUUUUCACAUUAAGCAUCUAUUUCAAAGAUGAUUGUUCUUCUUGAAUAAACACGUCACUACAGCUACAAACUUGAGAAACAGCCAGGUGGCCCCACCCAUUCACUUCCCUAUUCUCGAAAGCCCUGAGGGAUCUAGACAACUGACCUUAUGGGUGGCCUCGUCUUACCCUUCCCAUGCUGUAAUUCUCACUCCUCUGCUUUAAAUAUGCCAAUAGAGUGAUUCUGCAAAACACGGGGGACGCCGCCUCGAUCCCAAUCAAGGCAGAACCCCAGCUCUGUGUAUGCCAACUGCACCCCCCCAACCACCUUCCUGCAUGGCCCCAGCCAUGCCAUGUGCCUCCAGAGCUUACAAGGGAUAAACUUCGGGUUUUUUCCAAAGUUCCCUGACGGGGGUUGCUGAGAGGCAUUUUGCAAUCACAGGGAGCAGUAGUAAGGCCAGGAAUCUUGGCAGGGCCCAGGUCGUGAUGGCCCUGGCUGUCCUGCUACGGAACUGGACUCUGUCCCGGGGCCUGAAGGGGCACAGUCACUGAAAGCAGGAAAGGCACAAUCGGAUGCCUUGGGAACAAAAAGGUUAUUAUUGGUAAGUGUCCAAACGCUUAUCGGCUGGACCCAACUUGAGUACAAACCACUCUUCUAAGGAUGUCUCGGGCUGGGGACUUGGCUCCUGAAAGCACAGAGCAGACGUCCACGCUCUGGGUGGAUUUUCCCUCCUCCUGUGACUCCAGCAUCGUUAAGGCCUCUGGGCCCGGCCACAGAAGCCACCCCUGCAAUGUCCAUCCUUGCCCGGAAGAAAGGUCUUUGCUGGAGCCAGACCCCUUCUCAGCCACCCUCACCGCUCACCCACGUGCCACCAGAGCAGCUCAGCUAUAACACGGUGAUAACAAGAACAUGGCUGUACUGUACCCGGCACGUGCUGUGGGCCAGACACCGUGCCCAGCUUCCUGAAUCAUUAUCUCAUUUAAUCCUCAGCAUCCCUCCCAAAGGGUCCUGUGAUUUUUCUCCUUUCUUACAGAAGGAGAAGCUGAGUCACAGAAAAGCAAAAUUCCUGCCCAAGAGCUGGAGAGAGGCAGACGCAGGUGCCCGCCAGGCGGGUCCCCUGCUGGGACCUUGAACCAGAGAGAGCUCAGGUUCCGAAGGGGUCCGUCUUUCCUGCUGGAUGAGACUGGCCCCGUUUAUCAAGAGAACAAAGCUCGGUGGGUUAAAAAAGAACAGCUGGCAAGUGGAGAACCGUCUGGAAGCUUGUUCUUAGGAAUCCAGGGCCCUUGCUUCCUUCCUUCCAGCCCAGAUGUCCAUCAGGGCUGGCUCUUUGGACGUCCGGGGAGCAGGGCACUCCCUGCAGCUGCCAGGAGCCUGACCCUUCUGGAAGAUGAUAAGGUAGGAGCUACACCUGCUGACACCUGGGAUGAGGCCUGUGAGGGCCUGACCCAUGCUCCAGUUGAGGGACAAGCCCCUGCAGGGAGGGGCUGGGUCUGAGGGCUGGGGGUCCACGAGGGCCCCGGGAAGGUACAUCUGGGGUGACAUGGAGGGAGAAAGCAGGGACAGAGGCACAGCCGGAAGCCUGCAAGGCAACAAAGCUGCAUAACAGCAGAAAGCACGUCUGAGUUUGUCACAGCCAUAUGCCCUGCACCAGGCACAUAACAGGGACUCAGUUAAAGCCCACUGAAUGGAAGUAUGAACACACGAGCCAUGAGAAGCAUCCCCAGAGGGUACAAAGGCUGGGAGAGGGUUCGAGCACUAUUAGCUUUUAGUUAUUGUGGAUAGUGCUAACUACCUCUGUAGUCCACCUUUACACUUAAUCAAAGCAUCUCAACGUGCCAGUAAGACCUCUUCGCAUUCAUCAAACAGGUAAGAUCCCAUCCGUGGUUGUACUUUAGCUGUUCCCCAAUACUGGCCACUGGGGGUGUUUCCAGCAUGCAGCUUGCUAUUUAUUAGCUGUGCAUCUGUGAGUAAGUCACUUAACCUCUCUGUGUUCCAUCAUCAGUAAAACAGGGAGAAUCACAGCAGCCGGCUCUCAGAGUGGUGGUGGGGUCAAAGCUGUGGGUCUUGGGGGCUCUCAGAAGGGUGGGUGGCCCCUGUCAGCCCUCUGCGUGUGCGCACAGACACUCCACCAACACUUACACUCUGAAAGUCCAGGCAGUUUCCUAAAACACAGUCUCAGAAGUAGGUCUCAGAAGGUCAGCCUGCAGAACCGUAAGGGAAGCGCCUUUGAAAAUCCCAGCAGCAAAGAGGGUGUGGAGAAAAGGAAGCCUCCCUACGCUGCUGGUGGGAAUGUAAAUUAGUGCAACCUCCCUGGAAAACAGUAUGGAGACUGCUCAGAAAACUAAAUAUAGAACUACCAUAUGAUCCAGAAACCCCACUCCUAGGCAUAGAUCCGGACAAAACUACAAUUCAAAGACAUACUUGCACCCCAAUUCUCACUGCACUCACUGUUCACAAUAGCCAAGACAUGGAAGCAACCUAAAUGUUCAUCAACAGAUGAUUGGAUUAAGAAGAUGUGGUACAUAUACACAAUGGAAUACUACACAGCCAUAAAAAAGAGGAAUAAUUCCAUUUGCAGCCACAUGGAUGCUACUAGCAAACUAUUACAUGUACCAUGGAUAAGCCAUGAGGUCCUACUGUACAGCACAGGGACCUGUGUCCAGGCUCUUGGGUUAGAACACAAUGGAGGAUGAUAUGAGAAAAAGCAAAUAUGUGAAAGUAUAACUGGGUCACUGUGCUGUCCAGCAGAAAUUGACACAACACUGUAAAUCAACCAUACGUGAGUUUUUGAAAGAGUUUUAAAAAGUUAGAGGAAAAAAAAGAAAAAAGAAAACCCCAGCAGCACUUGUCCAAGAACAAGAGCUCAGACGACCCAGAAGAUAAGGCCACCCUACUACAGGGACACCAGAAUUCCCACUGCCCGCCUUUCUGCCAAGUGUUUGUCCAGCCUCCUGCAGGGAACAAACCCUCAUGCCCAGCCAGCCCGGUGGCUCCAGGUACAGUGACAACAAGCACUUUCCCCCACCGCAGAGGGGGCCUGGGCCACGCCAAGGAAGCUUAAGCUCCAGGGCC
rnacentral:lncRNA from 1 species